rnacentral:tRNA from 1 species
GCUGGUGUGGCGGAAUAGGCAGACGCAAGGGACUUAAAAUCCCUCGGUGUAAACAACGUGCAGGUUCAAGUCCGGCCACCAGCA